AAGUGUGUUUUAAGCAAGAAAUAGAAUAAUAAUCUUUAUAGUGUUUGAUUUAUUUCAAUUUAACUCGUUUCAUUCAUUAAUAGCUGUUCCUUGCGAUUUCAAAUUUGAAGGCAUGUUGAAUUUGGAAAUUCUAUGUGUUGCUAUUCUCUUCUCUUUUUUAAAGAGAAAUGUUUAAAUAGUAUUAAUGGUUUUAACUAUGCUCAAAAAAAGAGGGAGCACAGCACAACCGAAGACCAAUGCAACAUACCAUUGUUGGAAUUGAAUUAGCUUGCUGUGGUUAUUGUUUAUUUUCAAUUUUUUUUAUGUUGGUUUGCAGGGUUUAACGAAUGGUUUCAGCACGUUUUCAAACACUUU